UACGUAGGGGGCAAGCGUUGUCCGGAUUUAUUGGGCGUAAAGAGCGUGUAGGCGGCUUUGCAAGUCCGUUGUGAAAACUCGAGGCUCAACCUCGAGACGCCGGUGGAAACUGCAAAGCUAGAGUCCGGAAGAGGAGAGUGGAAUUCCUGGUGUAGCGGUGAAAUGCGCAGAUAUCGGGAAGAACACCCGUGGCGAAGGCGGCUCUCUGGGACGGUACUGACGCUGAGACGCGAAAGCGUGGGGAGCGAACAGG
rnacentral:rRNA from 1 species